rnacentral:rRNA from 1 species
AGAGUUCGAUUCUGGCUCAGGACGAACGCUGGCGGCGCGCCUAACACAUGCAAGUCGAACGAGAGAGAGGGAGCUUGCUCCCUUGAUCGAGUGGCGAACGGGUGAGUAACGCGUGAGGAACCUGCCUCAAAGAGGGGGACAACAGUUGGAAACGACUGCUAAUACCGCAUAAGCCCACGGCUCGGCAUCGAGCAGGGGGAAAAGGAGCAAUCCGCUUUGAGAUGGCCUCGCGUCCGAUUAGCUGGUUGGUGAGGUAACGGCCCACCAAGGCAACGAUCGGUAGCCGGACUGAGAGGUUGAACGGCCACAUUGGGACUGAGACACGGCCCAG